UACGGGGGGGGCAAGCGUUGUUCGGAAUUACUGGGCGUAAAGGGCGCGUAGGUGGCCUUCUAAGUCGAACGUGAAAUCCCUGGGCUCAACCCAGGAACUGCGUCCGAUACUGGAAGGCUUGAAUCCGGGAGAGGGAUGCGGAAUUCCAGGUGUAGCGGUGAAAUGCGUAGAUAUCUGGAGGAACACCGGUGGCGAAGGCGGCAUCCUGGACCAACACUGACGCUGAGUGAGCGAAAGCCAGGGGAGCAAACGGG
rnacentral:rRNA from 1 species